GGAUGUGAUCAUACCAGCACUGAAGCACCGGAUCCCAUCAAAACUCCGAAGUUAAGCGUGCUUGGGCCAGAGUAGUACUAGGAUGGGUGACCUCUUGGGAAGUCCUCGUGUUGCAUUCC
rnacentral:rRNA from 16 species